AUUAGUGAGGCUCCAUAAGGUCAGCCAGGUCUCUUGACCCCAGCCAGGAUCUCUUCCCACCACAUCAGGCUCCUGCUCCAUCCUCAGGCACCCAGACAAACCCCUCCACCGCCUAUGACAAAGAGGCUCAUUUGGAGCCUGGGCAAGAUUUGCAAACGUCAACCUUGUAAUUACAAGGAUGAAAUCAUCUGGUUCCUUUUAAGCAAAAGGGUUUAUUGAUCCCAACACUGAAGAAAUGCUAUUCUGGGUCCUCGGCUCAAGAAAUCUUCCCACCUCGGUGGCCAAAGUCGCUGGCACUGUAAGUACGUGCUGCUUACAAAUUUCACUGCUAAAACCCCUGACCAUGAAGGCUGGGACUGCAGCUCAGUGGUAAAGCGCUUGAUGAGGUGAAUCCCUGGGUUUGAACUGCACCGCCUAGACUGUGGUGGUUUGAGUGAGAAAUGGCCCUCCCGUAGGCUCAGAUGUUAGAAUACUUAAUCCCCUGUGAUGGCACUGUUGAGGUGUGGCCUUGCUGGAGGAAAUGUGUCCCCAGGGCCAUCUUUGAGGUUUCAAAGCCACUGGCAUUCCUAAAUCUUAUUCUGCUUUCUGAUUAAAGAUGUGAGCCCUCAGUUUCCUGCCUCUGUCACCAUGCUCCACCGUUCAGGGAUUCUAACCCUCUGGAGUGGUAAGCUCACACAAACUCUUCUUAUAACGUGCCUUGGACAUGGUGUUUUAUCAUGGCAGUAUGUUUUACUCAAAACACACACACACACACACACACACACACACACACACACACACACCACUCCCACCAACAAACCUUUAAUUUUGGGUAAUCAACUCUCCAGACUUCAGUUAAGAUGAUUAACCCUCCUAGUUUGUUAGGGACUGAGCAGCUUCAGAAGGCUUGGGGGGCGGGGGGAGGUCAUUGCUAAAAAUGAGAGCUGUCUAUGGCAAACUAGGACAGUUCCUUACCCACGUUUAGGUCCCUAUCUAAUAAAUGAGAUUGGGCUGGACUAGCAGUGAAAUUCUGCCAAAAUCUGUAUUCAAGCAGGCAUUAACAACUGACCUCAGAACUGAUUCCAGUGACUUAUGAGUAUCUUUUCACAAUCCUUAGCAUCUGGCCAGCUGCUGCCAAGAGUUGGCACUUACCUGCCAUCCUUGAACUGAACUUUUAACAAACUGCGAUUUUUAAGGAUCAGAGUUUAUUGAGGGUCAGCUUUAGCUCAAGCUCUGCUGCAAACCCCGAGUCUGGUUUUCUUCUGCUCUGGUAAGUUCUCUAGAACUUGCAGAUCUUGGAUUUUUUUUUUUUUUUCUUGUUUGAUUGCACAUUUGGGUAAAAAUAUGGACUGGCAACCGGUUACAUAUAAUUAAGAUAGUUUUCCUUUAAAUGAUGUGCUAGAUCUACAUAAACACUCUCCUACUAACGCCAUGAACUUAUGAGUGUGCAUUUUAGAAAUUACUAAUCUGAGACUUACUGGUCUGGUACUUGUCUAAACCUUGUCUGCAGGCAGAGCUACACGGAAUCCUAAGGCCAACCCCGUUUCAAUAGCCACCACCUUUUUACACCAUGAUUUGGUUAGAUGCUUACUUCCACCUUUCAGUGCACAGUCCACAUCCCUCCCUGUAUGCAAAGUCCUCUAAGAUUUAGGUUUCCUUGAAUUCAAGUGGCCCUUCUGGGGGUGACUCUGCGUGGCUGGCUGGGGAGCCAAGAAGUUCCAGAUCGCUCACAAAGGGC
ensembl:lincRNA Gm3830 predicted gene 3830